UCUAGCAAGCAAGCUUAAGCCGUUAGGUGUAGGCGCAGCGAAAGCGAGUCUUAAUAGGGCGCAUGAGUUCGUGGGAUCAGACCCGAAACCGAGUGAUCUAGGCAUGACCAGGAUGAAGGUGCGGUAACACGCACUGGAGGUCCGAACCCACACCUGUUGAAAAAGGUCGGGAUGAGUUGUGCCUAGGGGUGAAAGGCCAAUCAAACUCGGAGAUAGCUGGUUCUCUGCGAAAUCUAUUUAGGUAGAGCGUCAGACGAAUACCUUCGGGGGUAGAGCACUGAAUGGGCUAGGGGGCCUUACCGGCUUACCAAACCUAAUCAAACUCCGAAUACCGAAGAGUACUAUCUGGCAGACAGACUACGGGUGCUAAGGUCCGUGGUCGAGAGGGAAACAGCCCAGACCGCCAGUUAAGGUCCCAAAGUUGUGGCUAAGUGGGAAAGGAUGUAGGACGGCCAAGACAACCAGGACGUUGGCUUAGAAGCAGCCAUCGUUUAAAGAAAGCGUAACAGCUCACAAUUUAUAGUAAUCUUAAUUCAAAAAUGUAAAGAAAAUUAAAUUAUAUACCGAAGCUAUAAAAUUUAGUUAAUAGAAAAUUAAAUUGGUAGUAGAACGCUUUAUAUUAUUUUAUAUGAUUGAGAAAUCACAGAAUUAAAGUUGAAUAUACUGGCAUAAGUAGCGAGAGUAAUGUUAUUUAGAAACAUUACCAUCUAAUAUCUAAGGUUUCUAAUGUAAAGAUAAACUGCAUUAGGUUAAUCGGCCCCUAAAAUGUAUAUGAUAAUAAUAAUUGAUGGGUAAAUAAAUUAAUAUUUUUAUUUUAUUAUUAAUAGGUGACAAAUAAUUUUAUUUAGGAAUAGUAAUGCAUUAAAUAUAUUCUUAUUAUAAUUAUUUCUAGAAAUAGCAUUAAUAAAAAACUUUUAGGAAAACCGUACUAAAACCAACACAGGUAGAUUAGUAGAGUAUACUAAGAUGGUUAAUAUAAUAAUACUGAAGGAACUCGGCAAAAUAACUCUGUAACUUCGGGAGAAAGAGUACUUUUUUUAAUAAUUAAAGUUAAAAUAAAGUGUAACAGAAUAGGAGAUGGCGACUGUUUAUCAAAAACAUAGGACUUUGCAAAAUUUUUUUAUGAUGUAUAAGGUCUGACGCCUGCCCAGUGCUAUAAAGGUAAUAGAGAUUGUUUAAAAUUUAUUUUAAGCUUUUGAUUGAAUUAGUAGUAAACGGCAGCUGUAAAUAUAACGGUUCUAAGGUAGCGAAAUUCCUUGUCGAGUAAGUUUCGACCUUGCAUGAAUGGCGUAACGACUAUCUCACUGUCUCCAGUAUUAUAUUAGCGAAAUUGAAUUUUCUGUGCAGAUGCAGAGUAUUAGCGGCUAGACGAAAAGACCCUAUGCACCUUUACUACAUUUAUACUUUGUUUAUUUAUUUUAAAUUUAUAGGAUAUAAAUUAAUCGUUUGUAAUAAUUUUAUUACAUGAAAAUCUUAUUAUAUAUUUAUAAUAAUUAUUUAGGUGAUCUUGGAAUAAUUUAAUUUUAAAAUAAAAAACUUAAUAUUUAAGAUUUAGUAUAUUUGGUAGUUUCUCUGGGGCGGAGACCUCAUAAAAAGUAACUGAGGUGUACAAAGGCAAUUAAAACUUUUCAAGUUAGGGCGUGUAAUGGCUAAAAAUUGCUUAACUGUAAGACUAACAAGUCAAACAGAGAUUAUUUUAAAGUCGGUCAUAGUGAUCCAAUAUUUUUUAAUGGAAAAAAUAUUGCUCAACGGAUAAAAGGUACGCUAGGGAUAACAGGCUUAUGACUCCUGAGAGAAGAUAUCGACGGGGUCGUUUGGCACCUCGAUGUCGAUUGGUCACAUCCUGGUUAGGAAGAAUGUUCCAAGGGUAAGGCUGUUCGCCUUUUAAAGUGGCACCUGAAUUGGGUUCAGAACGUCGUGAGACAG
rnacentral:rRNA from 1 species